CACACCGCCCGUCACGUCAUGAGAGCUGUUUGUACCCGAAAUCAUCUUAGCUAACCUGUAAAGGGGGCGGAUGCUUAAGGUAUGGGGAGUGAUUGGGACG
rnacentral:rRNA from 1 species